rnacentral:rRNA from 1 species
GGUCUGGCCGGGCGGUCCGCCGUUUCGGCGUGUACUGCUCUCGGGCCGGUCCUUUCCUUCUGGGGAACCGGCGUGCCUUCGCGGGUGCGGCGGGGAGCCAGGACUUUUACUUUGAAAAAAUUAGAGUGUUCAACGCAGGCGCACGCCUGUAUAGAUUAGCAUGGAAUAAUGGAAUAGGACUUUGGUCUUAUUUUGUUGGUUUCUAGGACCACAGUAAUGAUUAAUAGGGAUAGUUG